UACGGAGGGGGCUAGCGUUGUUCGGAAUUACUGGGCGUAAAGCGCACGUAGGCGGCUCGGCAAGUCAGAGGUGAAAGCCCAGGGCUCAACCCUGGAUGUGCCUUUGAAACUGCUGAGCUUGAAUGCGGGAGAGGUGAGUGGAAUUCCGAGUGUAGAGGUGAAAUUCGUAGAUAUUCGGAAGAACACCAGUGGCGAAGGCGACUCACUGGACCGCUAUUGACGCUGAGGUGCGAAAGCGUGGGGAGCAAACAGG
rnacentral:rRNA from 1 species